CUCUCUCUCUCUCUCUCCCUCUCUCUCUCUCUCUCAGUAAUUUAGAUUGAAGCGGUGUGUCUGGCAUUGUUUUAAAACCAUUCAAACCACGCGAGGGAUUCUUGCACUGUGGCGAUUUUAACAGUUAU
rnacentral:ribozyme from 1 species